rnacentral:rRNA from 1 species
GAGAAGAAGCACCGCUGACUACGUGCAGCAGCGCGGUAAUACGUAGGGUGCGAGCGUGUUCCGGAAUUAUUGGGCGUAAAGAGCUGUAGGCGGUUUGUCGCGUCUGCUGUGAAAGCCCGGGGCUUAACUCCGGGUCUGCAGUGGGUACGGGCAGACUAGAGUGUGGUAGGGGAGACUGGAAUUCCUGGUGUAGCGGUGAAAUGCGCAGAUAUCAGGAGGAACACCGAUGGCGAAGGCAGGUCUCUGGGCCAUUACUGACGCUGAGAAGCGAAAGCAUGGGGAGCGAACAGGAUUAGAUACCCUGGUAGUCCAUGCCGUAAACGUUGGGCGCUAGGUGUGGGAUCCAUUCCACGGGUUCCGUGCCGCAGCUAACGCAUUAAGCGCCCCGCCUGGGGAGUACGGCCGCAAGGCUAAAACUCAAAGGAAUUGACGGGGGCCCGCACAAGCGGCGGAGCAUGCGGAUUAAUUCGAUGCAACGCGAAGAACCUUACCAAGGCUUGACAUGCACCGGACGACUGCAGAGAUGUGGUUUCCCUUUGUGGCUGGUGCACAGGUGGUGCAUGGUUGUCGUCAGCUCGUGUCGUGAGAUGUUGGGUUAAGUCCCGCAACGAGCGCAACCCUCGUUCCAUGUUGCCAGCACGUGAUGGUGGGGACUCAUGGGAGACUGCCGGGGUCAACUCGGAGGAAGGUGGGGAUGACGUCAAAUCAUCAUGC